GGUGCCAAAAAUUCUUGUUGACACUUGCUAACACCACUUGAAUACUAGGUUGUCAUCCCCAGCAUGGCACUAGAGUGUACUAUGGUAUUUAUACGCACACAGAUAAAUCCGCAAGCGCACGGAUACCGUUGUAGCUUUUACCCGAUUAAAGGUUUUAUCGUAUCCACAGGGAAACAGGAGAACUGAUCUACGCUCUAACUUAACAUAGAUAGAUAGGUAGGUGUAGAUAGGAAAGAUGGUAGAAUUGAAUAAGCACAAUAUUAAAAGUAAGAUAACAAUGGGUGAUAAUAUGGGAAUAGAGAGUAGAGCAAUCUAGUAUAUGGGCGAUGGUAGGAGAAUAGAGAGGAUAACUAUGGUUUCUCUACUUCAAAGGGGUAUGUCUAUGCCUGGGACGAACCACGUGAUAAGAAUACACCACAAAGGAUGCUUAUCCAUAGGCCGAUAAACCCUACCCGUCCUGCUAACAGGCGGUGGACUAUAGGGGACCAACGUAACUGUCACCUACGCGGCCUACCACACGAUCCAGCUAGACAGGGGAU
rnacentral:lncRNA from 1 species